CACUGGAAAUACCUAAGAAAUUUAGAGAAAACACUGCUAUCUAUCUUGGGUUGGUCGGGCGGAGAAAAUCAAGUAGAAAUUUCGAGAAUUGAAGUUAAUUAAAAGCCUUGAAUCAGCAAUAGAUUCCUCAAAAUCAGGUUCAGCUAUGGAUUCUACUAAAUCAACCACUCUGUAGGUGAACUCGGAGAUACGAUCCCAACAGAAACUGAGUCCUAUCCAGGUCCAUCUGGUAAAGUGACACAGUUAGGGGAUUUGUCGCGUCAGCUUCAAAUGUCUCCACGUUUUGCUCCUGUAAAGAUGCAUUAAAUUGGCGUUAAAAUUUAGCACAAAUAGAAUAUCGAAUACCCUGUAAGCAAAUUGCAUAAUAUUCUCACAACUAGGCAAAAACUUUGGUCCUUGAA